AGAGAGAAGGGUCGGUGCUUGCUCUCUCUCUCUCUCUCUCUCUCUCUCUCUCUCUCUCUCUUCUUCGAAUAGAUCGCGAUUUCGCCAUUAGAGGCGCCAUUCCAAUCUCCAAACCCUAGCUUGCUCUAAUCCCUAAUGGUACGUUUCCUCUCCAAACCCCGUCCCGUUUCCCUCUUCAAUUUGUCGCUCAGCUAUUCGAUUCAUCUUUGACCCAAUUGCGCCUCUUCGUUCUGCGGAAGUUGGCUUAUAUGAUAUUAAUCUUGCCAUUUUCUUGUUCAAUGUGAUAUGAGGUCUCAUCGAAUGUUGAAUGUUCGCGUGACCUUGAUCGACAAGAAAACUAGGAUUUUUGCUGAUUCCUAGUUUCAAUAAGACGUGUAAAAUGAUGGAGAACGGCCUCUUCGAAUGUUAAAUGUUGGCGUCACCUUGAUCAACAAGAAAACUAGGAUUUUUGCUAAUUUAUAGUUUGAAUAAGACGUGUAAGAUGAUCAACAAUGAAUGCUGUAUAAAAAGAUAUGUAUGAAAAGCAUGGCCGAAGGCAAAGAUUAUUUUGAGCGGAAAAUCAAUUUAUUGAAGUCUAAUUUUGAUGAGCUUGUUGAGAUGGCUUCGAAAAAGAAAAGCAUAGCAGAUGAAGCCGGACUAGUAUUACAAGCAAAACUCAGGCAAGCCUCCAGGAGUUCAUGAGCGCAAAAAGUACCGUUGUCAGCUUAUUCAUAACUUUAAAUAUGCCAAAUGCUUAUGCAUUUGCGCUGUACUACUUGGCCAAUUAGGAAGUUCAGCUGCUUGUGUCUUUUGAUGCGAUAAAUAUAGUGAGAUCUGCUUUUGUCUUUUGAUGUGAUAAAUGUACUGAGAUGGUUCCGUUGACACGCAUGCAAUUUAAAGCCCGAUCAGUAGCUUCAGUUA